rfam:Oryza barthii chromosome 8, whole genome shotgun sequence.
AAAAAGUCAAAUCCUAUGUUUCCGUGUCCAACUUUGACUGUCCGUCUUAUAUGAAAUUUUUUUAUAAUUCGUAUUUUCAUUGUUGUUAGAUGAUAAAACAUGAUUAAUAUUUUAUGCGUGACUUGUCUUUUUAAUAUUUUUCAUAAUUUUUUCAAAUAAGACGAACGGUCAAAUGUUGGGCACGGAAACCAGGGUUUGUCUUUUU